rnacentral:rRNA from 1 species
UACGUAGGAGACAAGCGUUGUCCGGAAUUACUGGGUGUAAAGAGCGUGUAGGCGGCCAGACAGGUCCGUUGUGAAAACUCGAGGCUCAACCUCGAGAUGUCGAUGGAAACCGUCUGGCUAGAGUCCGGAAGAGGAGUGUGGAAUUCCUAGUGUAGAGGUGAAAUUCGUAGAUAUUAGGAAGAACACCGGUGGCGAAGGCGGCCCACUGGUCCGGUACUGACGCUGAGGUGCGAAAGCGUGGGGAGCAAACAGG